GCGAUCAGGUGGUGGUAGUUUAGCCCUGCCUGGGAGCUUCUCGGAAACGAAAGUCUUCGGGUUCCGGGGGUAGUAUGGUUGCAAAUCUGAAACUUAAAGGAAUUGACGGAAGGGCACCACCAGGAGUGGAGCCUGCGGCUUAAUUUGACUCAACACGGGAAAUCUCACCCGGACCGGACACUAUAAUGAUUGACAGAUUGAUAGUUCUUUCUUGAUUUGGUGGUUGGUGGUGCAUGGCCGUUCUUAGUUCGUGGAUUGAUCUGUCUGGUUUAUUCCGAUAACGAACGAGACUCUAACCUGCUAACUAGUGGUGCGUUAGUUUGGACGUAUCUACUUCUUAGAGGGAUAAGCGGUGUUCAACCGCAUGAGAUUGAGUAAUAACAGGUCUGUGAUGCCCUUAGAUGUUCGGGGCUGCACGCGCGCUACACUGGAAAGUGCAGCAAGCGUUAUUUACCUUGGCCGAAAGGUCUGGGUAAUCUUUUGAAAGCUUUUCGUGUUUGGAAUAGAGGAUUGCAAUUAUUUCUCUUGAACGAGGAAUUCCCAGUAAGUAUGAGUCAUUAGCUCAUGCUGAUUACGUC
rnacentral:rRNA from 1 species